CCGUAGGUGAACCUGCGGAAGGAUCAUCAUU
rnacentral:rRNA from 2 species